rnacentral:lncRNA from 1 species
CACACAUAGCUUUGGAAUAAGUAAUUAACUCUGGAGCAAGAAUUUAACUGGCCAAGAAAGUACUGGCAAAAUAAGUUACAAAGAGUCGAGUUCUGUUGACCGUCUGUUUCAAGAAAUGCUGCAGCCUGACUUGAAUAGAAACCCGACACCUCCAGAACAA